UACAGAGGUCUCAAGCGUUGUUCGGAUUCAUUGGGCGUAAAGGGCGCGUAGGCUGCGGGGCAAGUCGGGUGUGAAAUCUCAGAGCUCAACUCUGAAACUGCACUCGAUACUGCUUUGCUUGAGGACUGGAGAGGAGAUUGGAAUUCACGGUGUAGCAGUGAAAUGCGUAGAUAUCGUGAGGAAGACCAGUGGCGAAGGCGGAUCUCUGGACAGUUCCUGACGCUGAGGCGCGAAGGCGUGGGGAGCAAACAGG
rnacentral:rRNA from 1 species